UACGUAGGGGGCGAGUGUUGUCCGGAGUUACUGGGCGUAAAGCGCACGCAGGCGGUCUGCUAAGUUUGGAGUGACAGUUGGUGGCUUAACUGCCAAAGUGCUUCGAAAACUGACAGACUUGAGGGCUUCAGAGGGACACGGAAUUCCGGGUGGAGUGGUGAAAUGCGUAGAGAUCCGGAGGAACACCAAAGGCGAAGGCAGUGUCCUGGGGAGUACCUGACGCUCAGGUGCGAAAGCCAGGGGAGCGAACGGG
rnacentral:rRNA from 1 species